CCUCAACAGUCAAAAAAGAGAAAAAGCACAUCUACAAGGCAAGAUCCAUCACCUGUUUUGGGAUGGGGAUGAAUCGCCCUCGGGCAAAUUUGUCUUUGAUGUUCAUAGCCAAGACAUAGAUGAUUACCUUUUGGAAGGACAAGGCCAGGCCAGGUGAUUGCCACUGUCAGGGACAGCCACUAGCUGAAUGUCCCAAAAGAGGAACAGCCACUCUUAAUUUAAUCAUGAGUCUUUUUGCAGGCGAUGUGAUCUUAAUGUCUCAGCUCCUGGUAUCGCAUAGCUACGUGGGAAUCUGCUUUCGUUAAAAGUUUUCCCUCCUGGCCAUUGAAUACUUGAAAAUGUCAACCUUCUGUUUACCAAAAACAUAUAUAUGUGCACAUAUGCACUCACAUCAGCUAGGCAGUAUCCCAGUGUAGUUAUUUUUAAAGACACUUAAUGAGUUUUGGCUGACCCAGCACAUAAUUUCUGAGGUUGCAUUUCAAGGGUUGUUAGGGUGAAAAGGUAUAAGACGAAAGCAGAAGGUUUGGACGGACUGAGCUCCUCAAACAAUGCAUCGAUGCAGCAGAACGGUCCCCUACAUGUGUACACCUCUGGUGACAGAGGACUUGGAGCUGCACUGAUUGACUUCUCCGUUUUGCAAAGCCACACUACAGCCCCAUUGCUUUACCUCAGCCUCUAGGAGAUCAGAGAGAUCUGUAAAAAUGGUGAUCAGGUUGUGAGGAUGAAUGUUGCUAUUGUGAGAGCUAGACCUGCAGGCAAAAUCUCCUGUCAAGACGGGACAGAUGUGACUACAGCUGGGGAAAAGAAGUGUGUGAGAAAGGACACAGUGGAGGGUCUGAAACUAAGAAACUUCAUGGAAAGAGAGAAAACCACUUGUGAUUCCUGGGAUGGGCAAGGUGUGCAUUUGACUGGAAAAAGACUGGGGACUUGAGGAUUCAUGCAUGAGGCCAACUAGGGUUCUGGAUCAUGAGGGAACAUGAGGACAGUGGUUUGUAGCAGCUCCUUUUUUUUUUGGGAACAGCCUGCAGGAUUCACAAAAAGAGAAGCAAACCACUGUUGUUCCCUGGGAAUACCUGUGAAAUCAUGUGUAUGUCCUGUGCCAAAAAGGCACACAGCCAUCCUCCUGUGAGGAGGAGGAUGGCCAGCAUUACAUUUUAAUAACCGGUCCAUGCAUUUUGGAGGGUGGGGCCCACCUUGCCUCCAGAGGCUAUUUUCUUUGUGGAUAAUGCUUUUCAAACUGGCGGGGGUUCUCUUAUGCAGGGGAUUAUAUCUACUAAAACAAAGCUAAAAGAGAGCAGUUGGGGAAAUAUGUCAUGAUUAUUCAUAAAGGCCAAUUAAAAAAUUGUUUUUAGUGACUUAAUUCUCUCUUAGUGAGUGUGGUUGUUGCAUCCAUGCUUUGUUUUGAUUCAGAUGGUAUCUGCAGCAGGGUGAAUCACUUGAACUGAAGCCCUGAGCUUUUGAAAUACCAACUUUUCUUUAGGGAAGCAGAAAAAUAGAGCCAAAAUUUAAAUUCGGCUGAUUAAAAUAAGCAGUUUAAAAAUACCUGCUUAAAAGUUCUGGUGUAUUGUAACCUCUCAACUUAUUAAAGCAAAGAAAAACCAGCUUUUGGACAGGCUGUUUUAACAAAUAUGCAGGUCCUUCAACUGCUUUGAAAUCUCACGACUUUGCCAAGUGUAGACUUUGGGGCUGGGAGGUGGGAUGGGAAAGUUAGCAGAAGGCAAGGUCUACCUUUCUUGAAGUGUGUCUUUGGUUUUUACACAAGAGAAAAAUGAUGUUGAAGGCUUAUAGGUGCUGCUUUGACCCAACCAAGCACAAACGGGGUAAGACUGAGGACCACAACAGCCUUUAGCACCACACAUAGCUUUCCCAGCCUACCAAGGGCCAUGUUCUAGGAAAACCUUCGUCUUUAUUCCCUAGGGCCAGGGGAUGCUGGUGGCAUUUUGCCUGCUGGUGUGCUACUGACAAAUUAAAAAAAAAAUUAAUAUUACUAAAAGAUUAUUUUUCCCUUACCCAGUAGCGUAACACACCGAAAUAAGUCCUGUUCACUCACCCGAGAGCUGAAGUGCAGGAAAUGCAGUGCUGUCUCUUACGCAGCACCAUUAUUAGGGUACAGCAGGUAGAAAGAUGGCCUUGACGUACUUGUUAAUGCUGCCUUGAGCCCUCUCCCCACACUGCAGUUUUCACGAGGUUUCAGAGCAGCGAAACACGGCAGGGAACGGGGUUACUGGCUCUGACCACACCAGGCAUCGGCACCACUCGCCGCGGGCUGGCGCGUUCCUCCCUUGCUCAAGGGUGAUGCAGCUGAGAGCACACCACGGCUGCCCUCUCCCAGCCCAGCCCUGCGGCACUUGAGCUGGGAGGAUUCAAAGCUGCUUUUCUGUUUUAUUUUUCUUCAGCAAUGCCUUGGCAGUGGUGUAGCCCCAAUUGCAGCUGUAGUCACACAGACACAAGGACCCCGGUACUCAUUCCUGAGUUUCUGUACGGCAACUAGUAGUUACCCCAGUAUAAGGAGAUAAAGGGACUUAUACCAUUGUACCGUGGUAUAUAAGGUAAGUUAUUAGAUACAGGCACAUACAUACACAAAUACAUGUAUGUGUAUACUAUGUACAUUACACCAUACAGGAGUGGUGAAUGCACCAUACUCUGAAUACAGGCAAGGGUAGCCUUAUUUUGCAACCAGCGAUGGUACAUCAGCUUGGAAAACAAGGAAAGAGAUGGUUAAUCAGAUCUUUUCUUUUUCACUGUACAUUGGCUUCACUCCAAUAGCUUGCAGGCUUUAUUAAUGGACUUUAUUAAAAGCCUAAUCCUUCUCUCCACUCGGCUAAAGGCUGAGAAGCCCCUAAUGCAUGGUCCUGAAGGGAAAUCUUCAGCAGAAACCGAGAACGCAAACUCAACAGCCCAACCAGAUAUUUUAAGGGCCAAACUAUGGUUUCCACCCCAGGAGAGCUUCUACCUACAACAAGCUAUACAGAGAGCUUUUUUUGGCCAUCAUGGAAAGGUGGAAAGACCUCCUCCACCAGGGUCUAGAGCAUCAGCCAGGCUUUCUGCCAUCAGGGCCAGGGGCUUGCAGGCUGGGCAGCACGAGCUGGCAUCACCCCACCGGCAGCACACGUGGUUUUGGGUUUCCCCGACCCAAAGAGGGUGUGAGCCCAAAGAGGGAUGCCCAGGCGGGAUGCUUGCAGCAGUCGCGCGGUGCCGGCUUGCUUGGCAGCUGUACUGCAAAGGCUUGGGCGAGGGAAGAGUAUCUGCGCUGCCACCCCAGCUGUAGCUACUCCCUGUUAGCUGUAAAAAUUACACUAUGAAGAGCAAGCAAUUACUCGAAACCGGUAAAUUAAAAGUGUAUCUGUAGAUGUAAGUUAUAUUUUAUUCAAGUUAAAGUCUACCUAAUACUGCUGCAGCUACGCAGUGUUUGGUAAGCUGCAAGGAAGGUACACAGACAUUUUGAAGGAUUCCAGCAGAACGUGAAUGCUGCAGAAUAACAUAAGCUUUUCUAAGAGGUGUGAAAGCAUCAAGUGUCAGAAGAAGAGGGCAGAGCAGCAGGUAUUUGUAAAGGUAGCCAGCGGAACAGAAGAAGCAUAGGCUUGGGGCUGGCCAGUAGCCAAAAGCAACAAAAGGAAAGAAUUUGGUGAAUUUGCAAGGGUAGAAGAGGGGAAUUAAAGCACAAAAUCUAUGGCAAAAAUAACCAUAUCCUAUAACUUCCCCCAAAUGAAGGAAAAACCAACGAUGCCACAGAAGUGACCGAAACCAAGAAGCUGAAGGUAUUUAUGGAAAUCUCUGUGCCCUGGGAGUUUGUAAAUGAUGUAACUCCAUCCUGAAAAAGGGCAAGUAACAAAUCAGUUCCUGACGUGUCCCACACCCCAUCCUUGCGCACACGCACCACCAAGCUGGUACUAGACCAGAGAACUGGUCCAGCUAUAAACCUUUUUUAUCUUUUAAAUAGGACCUGUGAGUGCUCUUUUUUCCUCCAUUUUUCCUAGAUAGGCUCAUCAUCACAGUGUGUCAUUUUUUUUUUUUGUAAAUGGCAAACCAUGGUUGCUUUUCAGCUAGCUUGUAGCAGGGGGAGUAUUUUAUCUGAGUCACCAGAGCCAUCUGUUUUAGACAAGUAUUUUAGUGAAUGAUCUCUCCCUUAUAGUUAUACAAUUUCUUUAUUCUCCUGUUUAAGGAUUAAUUAUGCGAAGAAGAAGGCAGGGUGGCCUCUUGCUGGCUCGCUCACCCUCCCUCCAUGAGCACCUGCUGGCAUUAAACCAUGUGCCUAAUCCAGCUUCAGCACCACCAAAUAUUAAAAUGGUCUGUGAACAGAUUUUCAAGAUGGAUUAGAACUAUGGAUUAAAGUUUAAAAAGAAACAUUUUUGGCUUGCUGGGCAGUUGCAAACAACUUCUCUUCAGUUCCCUACAGAUUGCUCAGGGUAUAAGAACAUCAUGUGGAGAUGGGGGUUCCUCAAAACAUUGACCCUUGCCUGCUUCCUGCAGCACUUGGACAUCGUUCAAGGUUCACAACCAAUGUUUCCUCAGUGGGUGACACUGCUCUGGUGGCUUAGCAGUGCUCCGGGAUGGGCGCCUGAGCCGAGGCGGGCUCUCCCCAAGGUUCCUCUCCCUCCCCGGUAGCCAGCAAGGCGAAGCAGCACAAUGAGGUCAGUUGUGGACAUCCCCAGCUGUGCUGCAGGGCAUCUGCCCCUACCUCCAAGUUUAUUCUUUAAAUCAUCUUCGUCACUGGUGCUUUUCCAGAGCUGUUGUACCCAGCCCUGGUGCUUUCAGAAGAAGAAGAAGAAAGCAAAGCACAUUGGAAAUGGGUGGCAGUAGUGGCUGUGUGCCCUGGGAGGCAGCAGCAGUGGGGCAGCCGCUGACUGUGAGCCUCUGCAUGCCUGUGCUCUGCAUGCUUAUUUAAGGAAAAUAUUGAAGUUGAGAUUUUUGCAAAAAUGUCAGAGGGAUAAGCAUGUCUAAUUCCUAUUAAAAUAAACAGGAACUAGACAUCCAGCCAGCUGGGUGAAAAAGAAAAGGAAAAGGACAUUAAACACCUGGCUAAAGCUGUAGUGAUGAAUCAACCAUACUCCAGCCCCCAAAGGAUGAAUCAAGUAUAUCACUAAUCCAGACUUUUCUAAAGUCCAUGUGUUAUGAAUACACCACUUUUUUCAGUAACAUGCAAAACAAGGGAAUAAUUACAUUACACAUAAAUACACAUGAAUAUUUUCCAUUAGCCUUUAAAGGACCUGGUUUUAAAAAGAUCUUUACUGGAUGUCACUCAAUUAUACAAAUAAUCUGGAGAUUUAGAAACCAAAACCGGGGGACAGGCCAGACCAAUUUCUCAUGUGGUGAAACUCCACUGACUGUGAGUGCAUUUAGGGCACGGCAGUGAAAGCAUCCCCCCCAGGAACAAAAGGAAUGAGAAAAUACUGGGGAAAACUAAAUCCCCUCCAACAGCUGCCUGGUGUGCUGCCUUCCUGCCAUGUGGCUGUAGCUUCUACAUCAAACCUGCCAUCACCGUUAACGGCACCUGUUGAAAAGACCCAGCAGCUAAUGAAGCGACCAGCGACACAUCAUCAGACAAUGAAACAUUCAGGCGAUAAAUACAGGGCUAUUGACAGAGGUCUGGGAUUCUAUAUCUCUGUUUUCAUGCAGGGGGGCUCCAGAUCCCCCCGGCCAAGUGAUUUAUGGGCUCCAGAUUGAAAGCAGCUCUGUUCUGCCCGCCCUGUGCAAAUCGCAGAUCAAAGGCAACCAUCUCUGGGGUGGAUGAUGGCGAACAUGGUGCGGUCCAAAACUGGCUUGUGAGAAACAGGGAAACCAGAAGAGCCGAAAGGAGAGAUGAGCACCUGCAUGGUGUUGCUGCAGUGCCAUGACACUCUUUUUACCAGGGUUGCUGAGACGCCAGCAUUUGGCGCAGCAGUUCCUCAUCUUGAAUACAGAUGGCAAGUAAGUGACGGGAGGCUGCUUGUUUGCUAAAAUGCCCAGACAAACUCCAGACUGGGAAGGACAAGCAGAGCAGCUACUGAGGCUUGGUGGCCUGCCAAAUCAAACAACUCAUGGGAAGGAGCUAAAAAAGAGACAACAUUUCUAUGUUACAACGCGUCUGGUAAAAAUGCUCCAUAAACAAAGCUGGUACAGAUAAACUGAUCUUUCCACCGGAGCUGGCUAGAGGGGAUGCCAUGGUCCAGCCAGGCAGGGUCCCAUUUGCACUUCUCCAACCCUUUCUUGGCGUGGCUGCCGCAGGAGGUACGCUUUCAGCUCUGCGGUCACCGCUCCAGCACGUCAGGACCCCCGCCUGCCCGGAGGCACGGCCUUGGCCACCCCCAAACCUCCAUCCGUGCUGCUACGGUGGGUGCCAGCCACCCACACCAGCAGGCUGGGGACACGCUUUAAAGGAUGACGUCCACGUUACACGCACACCGACCGGUUCAGCGUCUCGCCGGCCAGGCUAACCCGCGGCAGCGCCCGCGCUCCCGCCAGCCGUGACCC